CCCGUCCCCCACACCCCGCCCGCACCCGAUUCCCACGAGGCCAAUCGGCGGGCGCGGCGGCCGAGAGAUCCCGAGCAGCGACAGGGGUGGGAUCUGGCCGUGUGCGCGAGGCAAAGAGUGGGUGGGAGCGCAGGCCUACUUUAUUACCCGGCGCGCACUAAUCCAGAUUUGGGGCCGUGGGUGUGUGGGUUUCGUCGCUGUGGGGCGACGUUUUAAAACGCACCGGCCCGAGCGCCUCCGCCAGGCCAACACCUGUCCUCCCCCGCUACCCCUCUCGCCGUCGCGGUCGCGCCCGCGGCCAACGACCUUCUUCCACCUCGCACCCACCCGAUCUCUCUCUCUCUCUCUCUACGUGCGCGCGCGCACCAAUCGCUCCUGGCAGCAGUAGUAGUAACUGCUCGGAUUUGCUCUUGCUAAAUUCGGCACUGCCGCCCAUACUUAAUCGAGCCCGGCCGCCUCCUGUCCUCCUGCUUAAAGCAGCUCGAGCUCGCUCGCUCGCCCGCUGCUCCCCAUCACGACUACCACGGCCGCUGUGUCUGUCAGGCUGGAGCUCGAACACCUGUAACGCCCUGACUUGUGCCUGCCUGUGUGCUUUUUGAUUCGGUUGGAUUAAUUGGCGGGAGUGAGUGAGGGGAUCGGAUCCGAUGGACUUUCCGGGAGGGAGCGGGAGGCCGCCGCCGCCGCCGCAGCAGCACCAGCACCAGCUGCUGCCGCCGAUGACGCCGCUGCCGCUCACGCGCCAGGGCUCCUCGGUCUACUCGCUCACGUUCGACGAGUUCCAGAGCGCGAUCGGCGGGCCGGGCAAGGACUUCGGAUCCAUGAACAUGGACGAGCUCCUCCGCAACAUCUGGACGGCCGAGGAGUCGCAGGCCAUCGGCGCCGGCCCCAACGCCGCCGCCUCGUCCUCCGCCGCGGCGGGGCCGGACCACGGCGGCAUCCAGCGCCAGGGCUCCCUCACGCUCCCCCGGACGCUCAGCCAGAAGACCGUCGACGAGGUCUGGCGCGACAUGAUGUUCUUCGGAGGGCCCUCCGCCUCCGCCUCCGCGGCCGCCGAGGCUCCCCCGCCGGCCCAGAGGCAGCAGACGCUCGGGGAGGUCACGCUCGAGGAGUUCCUCGUGCGCGCCGGCGUCGUGCGCGAGGACAUGCCGGGCCCGCCGCCGCCCGUCUCGCCGGCGCCCGUGGCCCAGGCGCCGCCUCCGCAGCCGCAGAUGCUGUUCCCUCAGAGCAACAUGUUUGCUCCUAUGGUGAAUCCUCUGUCCCUGGCGAAUGGGUUGAUGACCGGAGCAUACGGACAGGGAGGAGGCGGUGGUGGUGGUGCGCCCGCUAUGGUUUCGCCGUCGCCGACGGGGAGGCCGGUCAUGUCCAACGGCUACGGCAAGAUGGAAGGCCUCAACUUGUCCUCGCUGUCGCCGCCGCCGAUGCCGUAUGUUUUCAGCGGCGGGCUGAGGGGGAGGAAGCCACCGGCCAUGGAGAAGGUGGUCGAGAGGAGGCAGCGGCGGAUGAUCAAGAACCGGGAGUCUGCGGCGAGGUCGCGCCAGAGGAAACAGAGUUACAUGAUGGAAUUGGAGACUGAGGUGGCAAAACUUAAAGAGCGGAAUGAGGAGUUGCAGAGAAAACAGGCGGAGAUCCUAGAGAGGCAAAAGAAUGAGGUAUUCGAGAAGGUUAGCAGGCAAGCUGGACCUACCUCAAAGAGGAUCUGCCUGCGGAGGACGCUGACGGGUCCUUGGUAAGCCGAAGGCCUGUAAACUAGAGCACACUACUUUCAACGCUGCGAAGUUUAUACAUACAGUAGAUGAAUUUCAGAAUCGCCAGGAGUUGCGCUUGUAGAGCAGCCACUGAUCCGAUGCUUCAGAGUUCAGACUCCUAGGCCGAUAGACUGCCGGCGAUCUUCGCUCGAUAGGUUUUUAGCCGUCCGCGUGCCGUUCCGUGUGAGUAGAGAGCAUUUGUAUGUAAAAAUCUAUUUAACCAUGUGUUGGUGUGAUACUACAUUUUCUAUUUAUUUUUUUCUGUUUCGAGGACUCAUUACACAACCAUGUUAGAAAUGAGUUUGUAUUCUUCAUAAAAACGAUGCCCGGUCGGCUUGUAAAGCGGAACUAUUUGCGCAUCUGUAGAUGAUUUUCCUCCAUUGUGCGCAUCUUCAGAGAGUGAACUGAACUGAGCUACUUUGCAGAGUAAAGAAGAUGUGUGUCUGAUGGGCAAAUCAGACACAGCAAAGCUUCUUGUAUCUGGUAAGCACAAACCGAACUAGUUUGAUUCGAGUACUCGGCAUCAGUGGCUGCUGUAGGCUGUGUGUUUCUGGCUCCAUUACCAUGUCAAUGGAGCCAUGUAUGUAAGCUUUGUAUACAUAAACCAUGGCACUUGGUCAUGUGGAACCAGAACCAAAACGUCUGUCUGUAUAUUACGAGAACUUCCGGAUCAAUAAUGUAAAUUACAACUAUCUUUUCUGGAGGUCCAUAUG
rnacentral:rRNA from 1 species